GGAGCUUUCCUAGGAAGCAGAGCUUUGAAUCCCAGUUUCCCUUGGAACACUGAACCAAGGUCAAAAAGACUAAAAGCAAUAUAAAGUGUUAAGUGGCUAGAAACAUGAAGAAAAAAAUCCAAACUAGGAUAAUGAAAAGCCAAAAGUUAUCAACAGAUUAUCCUCCUGAUCAACAAUAGAUGCUGCCUGAACAUCAUGCAUUCCUGGAGCCACCUUUCAUCUAAGGAGUUAUGUUGAUAUUCUUCAGCCAGAAUAUAUUAAAAU